AUUUCCUUGGUUUUUGGUAACUGGUCACCAACUUAAAUAAAAUGUAUUGAUAAUUCUCUCUUUUUUUUUUAAUGAGAAGAAACACUGAACUGAUGACAAAGUCAAAAAAAAUAAGAAUGGUAAAGUCAACCUUCUAAAACAACUAAUCAAAAUUAACUGCUAAUGUUUAAUAUAAUCAAAAGCCAUUAGAAAAAAAAAAUUGGUAAAGCAUGAACUGACACGUUGGGCGCCAAAUUUAUUGCACUGUUUCUCACACAAUGCCUAAAUGUGGGUUCCAGGGUUAUGAUUAUUAGCCUUUAUUAGGGCACGCAAAGAAAACGCAGCUUUAUAUCGUUAAACCCAGCUUUAGUAUUGAAAGAUAAAUCAAUGUCAUAAUUGACAACUAAUUAAAUCUAUAACCUCAAUUCAAAAAAAAUAAAUACUAAGACAGUAAUGCUCUAAUACUUAAAUUAUAAUUAUGAAAUUUAAAAUUAUGAGAAAGAAAAUAAAGUAAAAUUUAGCACUUAAUACUUAUUCAAUUGUACAUCUGAUAAUACCUCGCAUAUACGUAUAUACUCAGUUCCCAAUUUCAAAUCAAAUCAGUGAUGGUGGUUAUAUAAACAAUUUUACUAAAUUGAAUUUAAAAUCUGUGAUUAUUUCUACAUAUUAAUUCAAAAAAAAAAAUAAUCUAUAAAUUGCGACGAACCGAUAAAUCAAUACCUGAAGAAACCAAGCCAAAAAAAGAAAAGGGGCUACCUGAAAUUCUGAGUCUCUCCGACUGGUAGCAGGGCCCACCUGACUGAAUGGGGCUCCUUUGUUGGCAGCUAUACGUUUGGGUCAAAAGAGGCAGCAGCAGAUCGACCAAUUAGGAUGCUUCUAGAAUGUCUAGCAGGUAGUGGAAGGCAAUCGGUAUUAGGUGUAGCCGAUUGAGAGGAAUGCAGGUUCCGGAGGUGAUGAUUCAAGCGACUUGAUGUGGUAACACGUGGAGUAGCAAGUGAGGUGGAAGCAGUAACAGUAAAAAUGUAGCAAAAGCAGAAGCAGAGGAUAAGCAGAAGGUACAGGAAGGCCUAAAAAUGGGGACCACACAUGAGGUUCGACAUGGCUGUCAAUUUUAUGGCAUUUUUGUGUGGAUCGGGUAUGUUAGGAGGGACCAUCUUAACGGUAUCAUAUCUGUGUAGUAUGUAUAUUUAUGUAUGAUUUUUAAAUAAAUUAUUUUAUGAAACUA
rnacentral:lncRNA from 1 species